UUGCAUAAGAUUGAGUUAGUAAUAAGGUGAUAUGUCCUUGCGUGUUAGUUUAGUAGAAGGUAGAUAAGGAUUUAUUGGUUAAGGGGAAAUAUUAUUUUCUUAAAGUAUGAAAAGAGUUGUUGAUUGUGUUUGUUGUGCUAAAAAAGUAUAGGUUAUUGAUAAAGGUACUUGGUGGAUGAGUGUAGUUCAUUUAGGUGUCCCUG
rnacentral:lncRNA from 1 species